rnacentral:misc_RNA from 1 species
GAUGAAGAACGUAGCGAAGUGCGAUAAGUAAUGUGAAUUGCAGAAUUCCGUGAAUCAUCGAAUCUUUGAACGCAAAUUGCACUCCCUGGCAUCCCGGGGAGUAUGCCUGUUUGAGGGUCAGUAAAAUUAAAAUCGGUACGUUGCAUUUUUUUGUAACGUUUCCGGAGUUUGGGUUAUCUUAGCUCUGAGGUUAAGAGGCUUAAAAUUUGACAUCAUUUCGCGCACUUUUAGACGUACAUAAAUUAAUUUUUAUUCGUUUAACCUGGUGCCGAAGGUUAUUAGAUGCGACCCAUAUUUCGUGGUCUCGUGUCUAUAAUUUUAUCAUGAUUUGACCUCAAAUCAGGUAGGAGUACCCGCUGAACUUAAGCAUAUCAAUAAGCGGAGGA